AUUGAACGCUGGCGGCAGGCCUAACACAUGCAAGUCGAACGGUAGCACAGAGAGCUUGCUCUCGGGUGACGAGUGGCGGACGGGUGAGUAAUGUCUGGGAAACUGCCCGAUGGAGGGGGAUAACUACUGGAAACGGUAGCUAAUACCGCAUAACGUCGCAAGACCAAAGUGGGGGACCUUCGGGCCUCACACCAUCGGAUGUGCCCAGAUGGGAUUAGCUAGUAGGUGGGGUAAUGGCUCACCUAGGCGACGAUCCCUAGCUGGUCUGAGAGGAUGAACAGACACCCGGGAAGUGAGACACGGUCCAGACUCCUACGGGAGGCAGCAGGGGGGAAUAUUGCACAAUGGGCGCAAGCCUGAUGCAGUCAUGCCGCGUGUAUGAAGAAGGCCUUCGGGUUGUAAAGUACUUGCAGCGGGGAGGAAGGCGGUGAGGUUAAUAACCUCACCGAUUGACGUUACCCGCAGAAGGAGCACCGGCUAACUCCGUGCCAGCCGCCGCAGUAA
rnacentral:rRNA from 1 species